UACGAAGGGGGCUAGCGUUGCUCGGAAUUACUGGGCGUAAAGCGCACGUAGGCGGAUUGUUAAGUCGGGGGUGAAAUCCUGGAGCUCAACUCCAGAACUGCCUUCGAUACUGGCGAUCUCGAGUUCGGGAGAGGUGAGUGGAACUGCGAGUGUAGAGGUGAAAUUCGUAGAUAUUCGCAAGAACACCAGUGGCGAAGGCGGCUCACUGGCCCGAUACUGACGCUGACGGUGCGAAAGCGAGGGGAGCAA
rnacentral:rRNA from 1 species